UAUCACGCCUUCCAUCGUCAAAAUAACGUGUGCAACACAAAAAAUGAGCUCCAGCAGCCUCGCCAUCGUCCACACCGUUUUGCCAGCCGCGCUAUCCCGGUGCUCGCGCACGCCAAGUCUGGCGUGUCUCUCCACCCACGCUAUCCUCCAACGCCACCAUCGGGAGAUCGACGCCUGGGAGGCGACCCGUCAACCCGGAGCCGCUGCUCUGCCGCUCUCCUGCCUGGCGCUCAGGCCCCUGCGCUCGCGCUAAUCCCUCUCCCGCUGCUGCCAACUCACCUGCACUCGUUCGAGCUUGGUGCUGUGUGCUUGCGUUUCAUCGUACGCCCCGUGCUGUGCGGUACUGGGGUAAUUCAAGAAAUGCUCGGAGUUCUGAUCGGCAGCCGAAAUCUCUGAAAGCGUUUAAGGUAGAGUCCUUUUCCCUUCUUUUCCAUGAUCUCAGUUUCCCAAAUUUCUUUUUUUCCUUGUGUUCUUGAUUUUCUUCUCUCUCCAGUUGCUUUCGGUUUUUUUGUCGCUCUUCAGUAGCUGCUACUUCACUCCUAAACGUUUCCCCUUUUCUUUUUCCAACUAAGUUUUGCUGUUUCUGGCACCAAGAAACGGAUGAAUAUUCGAUUGAGAAGGUUGGUGUGUUCGUUUUCGGAUUCGCUUGAGAGCUGCGGCCUCUAGAUCUGAGCGGGAGGAGGCAUUUUGGUGUGAGUGGUGUGAAGCUAUAUCAAACUCGAGGACAGUUUCUUCCAGUUUGGGAGCAUUUUCCUGAUUUCUUGUUUACUUUUGGAAAAAGUUUUUAAUUUCUCCCUAUUUGUACCUUGCUGAUGCCAUUGAAGUUGUAAAUCCGUUGGGGCUAUCUCCAUCACCCUCUACUGAAGUAACAUCAUGUUCCCCCUCUUCUUUCUACGUGAAUUUCUAUUUUGAGAAAUAAGUCCUCUGAUUAUCAAUCGAUCUUUGACUCGUCAAAUUGUUGUGUUGUUCAUAUUUUUUAUUGCUCAUGGAGGCCAUGCAAGCGAACACAAUCGAUGUUGUCAAGAGGAUGAAGAUUGAGCUACUCCUCUCCCUGUGUGGCUGGCUGGGUGCUGCUAUUCCCCUGUUGCUCUGAGAUUGGGUGCUACUGCUCAUUCUAUUGCAAGUCAAGCUUAUUCAGAGGUCCCCUUUGAGGGUUGCUCCUGAUGUUGAUCUCGGUCCAUUACAUUUAUUGACGAUCAAGUAUUCAUGGGAAUGUUGUCUCUCUUGAGAUUACUUUGUUACAAGUCAAAAACACAUCUGAGGGCUCCUGUGAUGGCAGCCACUGUGCUGUGAUCAUUUGAUGUUAAUGAUAAUUGCAGAGUUAAGACUGA